rnacentral:snRNA from 1 species
UUAACAUUUCAUUUUGUUAAUCU